GGCUCAAGAGUGGCGUAGUGGUUUGAGCAUUGGAUUAUGACUCUGGAGACCAGGGUUUGAUUCCCAGCUCAGCCA
rnacentral:tRNA from 1 species